rnacentral:rRNA from 1 species
GUGCCAGCAGCCGCGGUAAUACGUAGGUGGCAAGCGUUGUCCGGAAUUAUUGGGCGUAAAGCGCGCGCAGGCGGCCUUUUAAGUCCAUCUUAAAAGCGUGGGGCUCAACCCCAUGAGGGGAUGGAAACUGGGAGGCUGGAGUAUCGGAGAGGAAAGCGGAAUUCCUAGUGUAGCGGUGAAAUGCGUAGAGAUUAGGAAGAACACCAGUGGCGAAGGCGGCUUUCUGGACGACAACUGACGCUGAGGCGCGAAAGCGUGGGGAGCAAACAGGAUUAGAUACCCUGGUAGUCCACGCCGUAAACGAUGGAUACUAGGUGUAGGAGGUAUCGACCCUUCUGUGCCGGAGCUAACACAAUAAGUAUCCCGCCUGGGAAGUACGGCCGCAAGGCUAAAACUCAAAGGAAUUGACGGGGCCCGCACAAGCGGUGGAGUAUGUGGUUAAUUCGACGCAACGCGAAGAACCUUACCAAGUCUUGACAUUGAUCGCAAUCCCUGGAAACAGGAGUUCUCCUUCGGGAGACGAG